CCCUUAGAUGUUCUGGGCCGCACGCGUGCUACACUGAGUGGAUCAGCGGGUCAGGUUGCGCGAAAGUGUUUCCUAAUCUUGAAAUCCGCUCGUGAUGGGGAUUGACGGUUGCAAUUUUCCGUCAUGAACGAGGAAUACCUUGUAAGCGCGGGUCAUCAUCCCGCGCUGAAUACGUCCCUGCCCUUUGUACACACCGCCCGUCGCUCCUACCGAUUGAACGUGCUGGUGAAGCGUUAGGACUGGCUCUCGGGGCAGGUCUCCUGCCCCUUGAAUCGGGAAUUUCGUUGAACCCUCCCGUUUAGAGGAAGGAGAAGUCGUAACA
rnacentral:rRNA from 1 species